AUCCUUUUGUACUUCUUAAGUGUGAUGACUAGGUUUUCAUGCUCAUGUGGGAGAUGUGCCUCCCUCAAACCUUCUUACAACACCAGCUCAUUACUUGACA